rnacentral:rRNA from 1 species
UACGUAGGGUGCAAGCGUUUGUUCGGAAUCAUUGGGCGUAAAGCGCGUGUAGGUGGUUAUCAAGUCAGAUGUGAAAGCCCUCGGCUCAACCGGGGAAGUGCAUUUGAAACUGAUAGGCUAGAGAACGGUAGAGGAAGGUGGAAUUCCUAGUGUAGAGGUGAAAUUCGUAGAUAUUAGGAGGAAUACCUGUGGCGAAGGCGCCUUCUGGGCCGUUUCUGACACUGAGACGCGAAAGCGUGGGUAGCAAACAGG